UCGGUGGUGGUCCUGAGAAAGCCAUAACUUUUCUCUUACCAUUUUCUUUUCAUUCAACUCCCCCUGAAUGAUUCCUUUCCUGCCCAUUGCGCCACUUUUAUUAUAUAUUAUAUAAUAUUUAAAAUACGAAAUUAUCCAACUUGUAAGAAAUUAAAUUCCUAAAUAUAUUAAUAACAUCGUGUAACUAUAAUUAUGUAUAAAAUAUCUGAGAAUAAUAAAAGCAAAAUAACUUAUAACAAUAAAGCAUACACAUUUUUUCAUGUAAUGUAGACUUUCUUCUUAAACUGAGCAUUGGACAAUCAUGAGCCCAAACAGGCCCCGCAGAAAUAUACAUAGCCCACUAUCGGCCCAACAGGCCGACACAGUCUAAUUUUCUAGGCCCGCCCCGUUGCUAAUACUUUGUUGUAGGCCUGUUACUAUUCUUUUAACUCAAUAUUUAUACUUUCUGAAAAAGAAUUAAUCGAUUUGAUUAAAGAUUAAAUUAUUUUUGCAAUAUAAGGUUAUAUUAUCCUAAUCAGUAGUUUCAAUGUCAAUGCCACCAAACGUUUAUACAUAAUUCUUCGCCCAUGCUUAUAUUUUCUUAGGUAAUUGAUUUGAUGUAACUUUGUUUGAAAAAAAAUUGAUUUGACAUCACUGCGACUUGAAAAUUGAUGAUAAUAUAAUUAUGAAUAUUGUUGGUUGUUAAAAGAAAUAGGUUUAGAAUAUUUGUAUUUAAUAGAGUAAUUUUUAUAUUAUUCCAUAAAUUAAAAUUGUCAAAUUAAUUUUUAAAAACAGCAUUAAUUUAUUUACUUUUUUUUUCAAAUAUAUUUUUAAUAUUUAAAACAAUUGCAUAUAUAUUUUUUAAAUAUAUUCUUACUAGAUAUCUUUGAUUAUUGUUCAAAUUCAUAAUUAAUUACUCCUUAAUCACCUUCUUAAAGCCUCAACGAGUCAAUAAAAUUUCAAGUUAAACACCAUCUUCGUUCGAUUGCGUAAGCAAUGAUCCAUGAAACUGAAUCAUCUAGAAUAAUAAUUAAAUUCAGCUGAUGACCCUAUGUGUUUUUGUGGGUAAUGAAUUUAAUUUAAAUUAAUUAAAAUAAACACAAAGGGUCAAGGUCAAAGUGCUGGGCUGCUGCUUAUCUCACUAAUAAUCAUUUGUUAAGUGAUUACAACACUCUAAUUCCAAUUUUAACAUUUACCCAUUAAAAAUCUACAAAACUUUCACAUUCCUUUUUCUUUAAAUAUUAUUAUUGAGUGCUUACUCAUCCACUAAGUAGUGAUUUUUGUAGUAGCAUUGGCCUUUUGACCCAACUGUGGUUUGCUACGUGAAUAAAUAUAUGUAUUAUAGCCCUUUCUAGUUGACCUGACUUUUCAACGCUCCUCCCUCCCCAUUCCUCAAUAUUUAAGCUGGAAUAAUAUUUUAUUUUUAUGAACAUCAAGAUGGCAACAACAAAAAAGAAAAACAAGCACAUGUUUUUAGGUAGUAAGAAGGACGCACAAUCCUUUUGACUUAUUAUUUAGAUGUGAAGCAAAUGUGAAUCUCCUCCUCUUACUCCACUUGCAUGUCCGCGAAUUACCAAGUAAUUGGAUGAGAAGAAUAAUAAUUGGGUCGGCUAAAGGGGAUCCGAGUACCCAUUUCAUACUUAUAUUAGUGUGUUAAAUAAAAAAUACACCCAUGGAAUAAAUGGAGCGUAGUAGUAGAAAGACUUCAAACCUAUAAUUUAUGUGUGAUGGAGCCAGAAAUGAACCAAGCUAGUUAUUAGUUAGCUACAUAGUCCAAUCAAAUAUUAAUGUAUGGCUGAGAGGCGAAUCUAAGUUGAGGUCUUUGAUCAAGCCUAAAAUUGUAAGACAUCCAUUCCUAACCUUAAAUCUUGAGUUCACUAAGGAAAAGUUAUCAUAUAAGAGACAUCUAAGACGUUUAUAAAAACUAAUAGCUAGUACACUUAAAAAAUCUUCAACGUUUAGAUUUGAAAAUAGAUACCCUAGAGCUUCUUUUUUACUAUACAAUGAAAGAAAAGCAAAUUAAGAAGAGAAAGUAGGGUCAAUUUAAUCCAUAAACCCUUAGUUCUCUUUUUAUUUUCCUUCUUAUUUUUUUUUGAGACUCAUAUCGACUUAAUUAUCGUAUUAGUAGGGUAGGCACAACAUUUGGUACUCUCUCAUUUCUUUAUUUAUUAUGUGGAUAACCAAACUAUCGUCUUAAGCUUCAUCGAUUCUUAAAAUAAAUAUACAAGAUAGUAUGUACGAUUGCCUAAGUUCGUACAAGCACAUGUCCAAACCAAUUAAUACAACUAGUAACGUGCAAUAUUGGUGUAAAGAUUUACCCAACUCGUCCAUGCUGGUUAAUCUGAGCCUUAGAAUGCGAGUGACGCACGUGCAUUAUCUAUGUGAAAAAUGAUAUUUUUGGACAAUUUGUUGAAACGUGAGCACAGGAAUCAAUAUGGUUAUCUAUCAUCAUGUUCCUCCUACCGGAUAGAUCCCUUUCAGUACCCAAACAGGUACGUAUGAGAGUUAGACAUGAACUUAGGACUCUUUUAAGGUUUACCAUUUUUGUUGAAGGAGGGGACGCGUAGUUCCUCCCAUGUCUUCUUUAACAUUUUUGGAAAAUUAAUAUUACGAACAACAGAUAUCUGCUAAUCAGUGGCAAUUAUAGGAUUAAAUGAUUGAGAAAAAAAGAAUAUACAGACAUUGAAUGUGAUCAAAGACAAAGACUAGUGUAACAUAUAUAUAUAUAUAUAUAUAUAUAUAUAUAUAUAUACUGUAAUGCUGCCGUAAUCGAACAGUAUAACAUAUUUCUUACGCAAAUCCAACAAAUUAUUAAGUGUUAGCAGCACUAAUAUGUGUAUAUAACAAUUUAGAUACGGAUUUAACUAUGGCCAUGAUUACUUCUAUUUUAGGUCAUUUUGAACUUAUUUUCAUGCAUUGAUAAUUCGUUUUGCUCAUUCUAUUCCGGGACUCUCUUUCUCGUCACAUCCUAUAUCACAUUUUCUUGUCACAUCUUAUAUAGCAUUUUCAAUUAAAAGUUGCCUAAUAUAUCAUAUAAAAUCUAAAACAAUCACUUGGAUCUUUUCAGUGGUUUACCCAAUCCUUGAAUGAGAUAUGUAUUUAAAAUAUUCAAGACUUUCAUGAUGAGAAAGUGACUUAUUAUUUGAAUUUUAUAAUUAUUCUAUAUAUGUCACUCAUCCAACUAUCUGUUAUAGCUAAAAAAGAAUUAUUAAAUCCAUUUAUAAAGUACAUUUUGAAUUUUACUGUUGCACGCUCUUUUUUAUAAAGACGGGCAUACUAGUGUUUUAACUUUAUUUACAGAUGAAAUACCAUAUAGUUAUAUUUGAUUUCGUAAGUUUAUACUAGGUUGGUAGUUUGAACUAAUCACGUCUCCAUUAAAAGCUUAUUUGGUCUCCUAUUUUCUUUUUCUAAAAUAAUAGGCAUAAAGGAACAACAAAUUAAUGUAACAUUGCAAGUGUUACUCCACUAUAUUAUAUAAUGGGGUUUUCUUUUGUAUAUUUAUGAAUACAUAUCGAUUAACAUUUUCAAUUAAUAGAGGGUUAGUUCUAGCAUACCACAAUAUUUAAGAGAUUCAAAUUCAAACGGUAUUGUGGUUUAAUAAAUGUCAUUCUGUGUGAGUUAGAUAAUGACAUACUUGAUAGUUUAAAUAAUUUGUCGUGAAAAAAAAUAUAGAAAAUAUCUGAUACAAGUUUUCCACAGAUGGGGAUAAGCAUGAAAUAAUAAUAAAGCAUAUGCUUCCUCCUCAUAGUGGAACACCAACACUAGCAUUUACUUUAUUUGUUCCGGGUUGGAAAGAUCUUCUAUCCAUUUUUGUUAAUGACCUAUAAAUUGAAAGAGAUCACUCAUAAACUUUUGUUAGCCACCUGAAACUAGUGGCUACAGAUACUUUUGGAAAAACAGAAAGAAAGUUCUUUAAAAAAAAAAAAAGAUAACAAGAAAAACAUUAUUCAUAUAUAAAUAUAUUGCAACAUGGCGUCGAUCGACUUGGCUUUCAUUACAAAUGCUUCACGGAAGUGAUGAAUGAGAGAAUGAAAAGGAAAUGUUAUAUACUUAAAAUGGUGGUUAAUAGAGAAGAUAGAGUUCACCAAAUAGCAUGUGUUCUAUAACACAUGCUUUUUCUGUCUAUAUUCGACGGAUGAAAUAUGGGUUACUCUUGUACUUUUGUAGGAAGGAAUCCCAUAUAAGCAUGUGGGGAGGAGCUCUAUCUAUGUUAUCUAUUUUGUGUAAGAGCGUACCUUGUGGUUGUACUUGGGGAAAAUAUAUAUGUGGUUCUAUUGUUCGAGGAGGAAAAGAAAGAGAACUUUAUGUUAAAAGGGUUUGAAAGAUGGCUAUUUUAUAAGCAAAAACAAGGAAUUAGGUUUUAUAGUAUAUUGUAUGUGAAGAAUUCAUUGUUGGUUACGAUCAGUAAAGCGUAUAUAUCUUGAUAAGUUUUAUAGUGCAUGGGCUAUUUAAUCUAGUUAUGAGUUAGUGAGAGAAUAAUAUUAUAUAUAUAUAUAUAUAAACUAUCAAAUUCAUAUUCUGUACUUAUAAUUUACUUCUGUCUGUCACCUAAUUUUUACGAUCUAAAAGAAUCUAAACAAACCAUUUCUGUAAAAGAUAUAUAUAUAGCAGUAGUAUACAUCACUCUCGAAAGCCACUAUAGUAAAGCAAUCAACAGAGGUUCCUAAGUAGUAGUUAAGUUAAAAGUUAUUGGGUGCAGUCCUUAAAUAUGCAUUAUAAACAUCGAUUGGCUUAAAAUGUAUGGGCAACUUGUAUAUAUUCUCAUGAUUGUAUGAUGAAAAAAAAUUGUUCAUAUACGAAAUGAUGUUUGAAUCCAAUAUAUAUAUGAAGGUGACAUAAGAGUGAUGCCACAUAUCACGUACCUAUACAACAUAUUAAAUAUAUUAUAUAUAUUGAGAACUUGACAAGCAUAUUCAGAUAUAUGCACAGUAAAAAAUUACAUAACAUAAAAGGAGGAAAGUACAGAUACAAUGUAAAGGGGCCAAAAGGGUACCUUUUUGAAUUGAAAGAUCAUCAACAGAGACCUGACAGUAACAACCCUCUUCCUCUCUUCUUCCUUCAGUCUUCCCCCUCCGCCCCCAACUUUCGGUUAGAGCCUUACGGAGAAGACUUGGACAGUUGGACCUCUGUCUCUCUCUCUCUCUCCCCCAGCGAUGGAUAGAAAGAAAAGAAAUAAUGAUAGAUAGCAUCAGACCAUCUCCACGUGGGAUAACGAUAUGGCCCCCACAUAUUGACAAGGAAGUCUUCUGAAGUUUAUGGUUCCCACUGGAAGAUUACUUUGACCUUUUGGAGAAGGGGAAAGAUGGGAGUUGAAGAAAUCAACGUGGCGCAGAGAUAAAGUCUCUGAGCAGAGAGCACUAUGGUGGAGUCCAGUUGUGUAUUUGCAUAUGUUCUUCUCCCCUCCCUCUACUGCUUUUGUAGCCCAGUUGUAUACCAAUAUUCGUGGUGUACUCUUUCAUAUAAUUUC
rnacentral:lncRNA from 1 species